GACGAGCGCUGGCGGCGUGCUUAAUACAUGCAAGUCAACUGAACUUAAGGUAGUAAUACUUUAAGGGAGGUGGCGCACGGGUGAGUAACACGUAGGUAAUCCGCCUUUAGGUCUGACAUAAUUCCGCGAAAGCGGGACUAACUUCAGAUGAUGCAGCGGCUCGACAUCGAGACAGUUGUUAAAUCUUCGGAGCCUAAAGAUGAGCCUGCGUCUGAUUAGGAGUUGGCGGAGUAAAAGCCCACCAAGCCUGCGAUCAGUAGCUGGUCUGAGAGGACGAUCAGCCACACUGGGACUGAGACACGGCCCAGACUCCUACGGGAGGCAGCAGUUAGGAAUAUUGGACAAUGGGCGCAAGCCUGAUCCAGCCAUGCCGCGUGAGUGAUGAAGG
rnacentral:rRNA from 1 species